UUACCCGAUCUGCGUGCGCAGGCAUAGACAUAGACUAACUAGACGCCUCAUGACAAGCAGAAUUGUACGUCAACGUCUCCGCCAUAUUGCGAGUGGCACUGCUGUGGAGUGAAGUAAUGGAUAAGAUGCCUCAUACAUGUUAUGCUUGGGAUUUUACAAACCGCUGUACGCUCCAAACCAGAUCCCCGGGGAUUACAUUUCAAAGGUGGUUUCCCAAGAAGCCAGGCAUCCAGUGCAUCUCCCUCUAGGGACUUCCCCCAGCACUAUAAAGGAUGAGCAGACAGGCAGUGAAUGCGCUGAUUCCUGCUGAGACAUAUUGCGAUGAGGAGUGCUGGGCGGGGCCGAGCCGAGAGCGAGCACGCAGGGGUCACGGAAAGUUCAGCAAAACAGCGGCGCAGCGGUGUCGGCGCGAAAGUUCCAGCUCCUUCGCUACGCAGUGAGUCAAUAAACGAUGAUAUUUGUACAGAGCUCUUAAACUGCAUGGAAAAUGAAAGUAAAAUUACUAAGUAAACUGAACAAAGACAAAAAACAGCAAAAUAGUCUCCAUCUGAGCUGUCCUUGACUAGUAGCGUUUAAAGGGUUCAGCGUUUUAGGUAUAACGAUGACAAGUACUUAAGGAACAGUUCUUUGCUUAGCCCCGGGCUUGACACGAUCAGGCAUUAGAAAUCCGUCCUUUAACUAUUCUGUCCCCGAACGCCGUAUUAGUGAGGCUUCUCUCCCAAGACCAAAUCUGUACGGAGUGUGCGUCGCCCAACUGGUUGUAGUGAACGUGGACAGAUAGUUUACUCACCAAGAAGUCAAGGCUGAGAGUCCUUAUACUUUAAUGUAGACUUUUGCCAUAAGUAAUACAAGUAUUAGGACGUAAAACCAUUGAUAACUUUAAGGUAAAAGGACAAUAAUUUCCUUAACCUAAAUACAAUAUGGUGGUAACUAGCGAUGGGCCGUUCGAUACUCAAGUUUCGACACUGUGUCGAGCUAUCGAAGCACCGCUUCAAAGCUUGCUUCAAAUGCGCCCGUCACGUGAUUUUGAGCACGCUAGCGUAAUGACGUCAUUGAUAUCUGCGCAGUCAACAGUCGGUCUGGUUAGUAACUAGUCUGCUGAAGUGCUUUGGCUCAAAGCGUAAAAGCGGUUGUCUGUG